GGAGACAUGGCUCAGAGGUUAAGAGCAUUGGUUGCUCUUCCAGAGGUCCUGAGUUCAAUUCCCAGCAUCUACA
rfam:Mus musculus chromosome 8, GRC primary reference assembly.